GUUAAUGUUUUGCAGAUUUCGGCAAGGCUCCUGGGCCAUGGGUAUAGAAGUACAGUUUAAGCAGUGACAAAUAGAAAGCACAUGCUUAUUAAAGCUGCGUUACACAACUCAGAGCUGCUUUAAUGUCCUCUGCUCCUAAACCAACAAACCUGCGGGGACUUGUGCCCACCUGUGUGUGUCUUGGAAGAGGAAGGAUCGCUCCUGGGGAGUCCGCCGCAAACUCAGGCUGCUCCGACUUCGGGCGAUGUCCACGGGCUGCACCCAGAGCGUUUUCCCGAGGCUGGGGAGGGACGGGAGGUCGAGAGGAGCUGCAGCCCUGCUUCAGCACCACGGUGCUGAGUGGAGCYGGCAGGCGGGCGCAGGGCCACUUGAUCCGGCAGGGUCCCUGCUGCUGCCUCUGAUARAUGUGAAGUGAUCGGAGAGGUGAGUCCUGGCGAAAGAUGAGUGCAUAGAGUGACUGUCAAAGGUCUCGAGAGGCUGUUCUGUUGCCAAGAAGGAAAAAGAUCCAAUAUGCACCAUACAAAAGCAGUGUUUGAUCAAAAUARACCAGUGACAGUGACCUUGGCAAUGAAAAGGACUUGCUUGUGCGAAGCUGUAGAUGAAUGAAUGAUCAGUUAGUGGAAAAUAUUAUUUGCCUGGGAAAGCUUAACAUUUGAAUAAGGAAAAAAGACUGCUUCUUAUCUGUAGCAGAUCACUGCGCCCUAUUGAAAACACUGCUGUGACUUUUUCUCUCGCUCUCUCUGAAGCUGUUCUUUUUCAAAUAGGGCUAAAGUGAAACAAAUGUUUAAUUGUCUCGUUUCUAGUCACUAAUCUGAAUUUCAGCACAAACACAUAGCAUUGCUUAACAGAGGAAGGAAAAAAUGCGAUUGUUUAGAAUGAAUGUAUGGUCUUCUUUGAGCACAGAGACUAUGGGCUACUGUUAGCAAACUGUGCAGAGGGUUCUUGAGACUUGUAAAUUAUUGAUAAAACUGAGKUUAAAUGUUUUUAACCAGCAAUGAAAAUUUAUGGGGUCAUCUCAGAGACUGAAGCAUCUGAUAAAGACACGAGAUUUGGUGGGAUUUUUGCAUAGAGAUGCAGAGGAUGGCUGUGUUAAGUGCUGUUGUAGGUCCCAGUUCACCGAGGUACAUACACACACUGAAACACAUGAAAAAUCUGUUGAAGUUAACAAGAAUACUCUGAAUUUUAAAACAGAAACGUGCUUAACUACCUUCCUGGGGCGUUAAAUGGCUGAGGAUGUCUGGCCCAUGGUUGACCGAGCUUUGGUAAAACUGAAGUCAGCCUACUUGAUGCAUUUUGCCCUUUCAGUGUGAAAUCACAAGUGUUUUUCAAGGGAAUUUUGUGAGUGCCUCUGAAUGCAAAAUCCAGCUUGUGGAUGUGUGG
rnacentral:lncRNA from 1 species